rnacentral:rRNA from 1 species
AUUGAACGCUGGCGGCAUGCCUUACACAUGCAAGUCGAACGGAUUCAAGAGGCUUGCUUCUUGAGUUAGUGGCGAACGGGUGAGUAAAGCAUCGGAACGUACCCAGUUGUGGGGGAUAACGUAGCGAAAGUUACGCUAAUACCGCAUACGCACUGAGGUGGAAAGCGGGGGACCGAAAGGCCUCGCGCAAUUGGAGCGGCCGUUGUCGGAUUAGCUAGUUGGUGGGGUAAAGGCUCACCAAGGCGACUAUCCGUAGCUGGUCUGAGAGGACGACCGGUCACACUGGAACUGAGGAACGGACCAAACUCCUACGGGAGGAAGCAGUGGGGAAUUUUGGGCAAUGGGCGAAAGCCUGAUCCAGCCAUGCCGCGUGAGUGAAGAAGGCCUUCGGGUUGUAAAGCUCUAUCAAACGGAAAGAAAUCUUGCGGGUGAAUAUCCCGGAAGGAUGACGGUACCGUAAGAAGAAGCACCGGCUAACUACGUGCCAGCAGCCGCGGUAA